rnacentral:rRNA from 1 species
CCUACGGGUGACAGCAGUGGGGAAUAUUGCACAAUGGGGGAAACCCUGAUGCAGCAACGCCGCGUGAAGGAAGACGGUUUUCGGAUUGUAAACUUCUAUCAGUAGGGAAGAAAGGACUGACGGUACCUCAGUAAUGAGCCCCCGCUAACUACGGGCCAGCAGCCGCGGUAAUCCGUAGGGGGCGAGCGUUAUCCGGAAUUACUGGGUGUAAAGGGAGAGUAGGCGGCAAGGUAAGCGAUAGGUGAAAGCCUUAAGCUUAACGUAAGGAUGGCAUAACGAACUAGCUAGCUAGAGUACAGGAGAGGAAAGCGGAAUUCCUAGUGUAGCGGUGAAAUGCGUAGAUAUCAGGAAGAACACCAGUGGCGAAGGCGGCUAUCUGGACUGAAACUGACGCUGAGGAUCGAAAGCGUGGGGAGCGAACAGGAUUAGAUACCCCAGUAGUC